UUUCCGUAGGUGAACCUGCGGAAGGAUCAUUCAUAAUAAAGUGUUUUAUGGCACUUUUUAAAAAUCCAUAUCCACCUUGUGUGCAAUGUUAGAUCUCGUCAAUCUUGGCGAGAUUUUUAUACAUCAACUCAUUCUUUAACUAAUUUGUCUGAAAAAUAUUAUGAAUACUUAAUUCAAAAUACAACUUUCGACAACGGAUCUCUUGGCUCUC
rnacentral:misc_RNA from 1 species